rnacentral:rRNA from 1 species
GGGUUGUGAGGUUAAGCGACUAAGCGUACACGGUGGAUGCCCUGGCAGUCAGAGGCGAUGAAGGACGUGCUAAUCUGCGAUAAGCGUCGGUAAGGUGAUAUGAACCGUUAUAACCGGCGAUUUCCGAAUGGGGAAACCCAGUGUGAUUCGUCACACUAUCAUUAACUGAAUCCAUAGGUUAAUGAGGCGAACCGGGGGAACUGAAACAUCUAAGUACCCCGAGGAAAAGAAAUCAACCGAGAUUCCCCCAGUAGCGGCGAGCGAACGGGGAGCAGCCCAGAGCCUGAAUCAGUGUGUGUGUUAGUGGAAGCGUCUGGAAAGGCGCGCGAUACAGGGUGACAGCCCCGUACACAAAAAUGCACAUGCUGUGAGCUCGAUGAGUAGGGCGGGACACGUGGUAUCCUGUCUGAAUAUGGGGGGACCAUCCUCCAAGGCUAAAUACUCCUGACUGACCGAUAGUGAACCAGUACCGUGAGGGAAAGGCGAAAAGAACCCCGGCGAGGGGAGUGAAAAAGAACCUGAAACCGUGUACGUACAAGCAGUGGGAGCACGCUUAGGCGUGUGACUGCGUACCUUUUGUAUAAUGGGUCAGCGACUUAUAUUCUGUAGCAAGGUUAACCGAAUAGGGGAGCCGAAGGGAAACCGAGUCUUAACUGGGCGUUAAGUUGCAGGGUAUAGACCCGAAACCCGGUGAUCUAGCCAUGGGCAGGUUGAAGGUUGGGUAACACUAACUGGAGGACCGAACCGACUAAUGUUGAAAAAUUAGCGGAUGACUUGUGGCUGGGGGUGAAAGGCCAAUCAAACCGGGAGAUAGCUGGUUCUCCCCGAAAGCUAUUUAGGUAGCGCCUCGUGAAUUCAUCUCCGGGGGUAGAGCACUGUUUCGGCAAGGGGGUCAUCCCGACUUACCAACCCGAUGCAAACUGCGAAUACCGGAGAAUGUUAUCACGGGAGACACACGGCGGGUGCUAACGUCCGUCGUGAAGAGGGAAACAACCCAGACCGCCAGCUAAGGUCCCAAAGUCAUGGUUAAGUGGGAAACGAUGUGGGAAGGCCCAGACAGCCAGGAUGUUGGCUUAGAAGCAGCCAUCAUUUAAAGAAAGCGUAAUAGCUCACUGGUCGAGUCGGCCUGCGCGGAAGAUGUAACGGGGCUAAACCAUGCACCGAAGCUGCGGCAGCGACACUGUGUGUUGUUGGGUAGGGGAGCGUUCUGUAAGCCUGCGAAGGUGUGCUGUGAGGCAUGCUGGAGGUAUCAGAAGUGCGAAUGCUGACAUAAGUAACGAUAAAGCGGGUGAAAAGCCCGCUCGCCGGAAGACCAAGGGUUCCUGUCCAACGUUAAUCGGGGCAGGGUGAGUCGACCCCUAAGGCGAGGCCGAAAGGCGUAGUCGAUGGGAAACAGGUUAAUAUUCCUGUACUUGGUGUUACUGCGAAGGGGGGACGGAGAAGGCUAUGUUGGCCGGGCGACGGUUGUCCCGGUUUAAGCGUGUAGGCUGGUUUUCCAGGCAAAUCCGGAAAAUCAAGGCUGAGGCGUGAUGACGAGGCACUACGGUGCUGAAGCAACAAAUGCCCUGCUUCCAGGAAAAGCCUCUAAGCAUCAGGUAACAUCAAAUCGUACCCCAAACCGACACAGGUGGUCAGGUAGAGAAUACCAAGGCGCUUGAGAGAACUCGGGUGAAGGAACUAGGCAAAAUGGUGCCGUAACUUCGGGAGAAGGCACGCUGAUACGUAGGUGAAGUCCCUCGCGGAUGGAGCUGAAAUCAGUCGAAGAUACCAGCUGGCUGCAACUGUUUAUUAAAAACACAGCACUGUGCAAACACGAAAGUGGACGUAUACGGUGUGACGCCUGCCCGGUGCCGGAAGGUUAAUUGAUGGGGUCAGCGCAAGCGAAGCUCUUGAUCGAAGCCCCGGUAAACGGCGGCCGUAACUAUAACGGUCCUAAGGUAGCGAAAUUCCUUGUCGGGUAAGUUCCGACCUGCACGAAUGGCGUAAUGAUGGCCAGGCUGUCUCCACCCGAGACUCAGUGAAAUUGAACUCGCUGUGAAGAUGCAGUGUACCCGCGGCAAGACGGAAAGACCCCGUGAACCUUUACUAUAGCUUGACACUGAACAUUGAGCCUUGAUGUGUAGGAUAGGUGGGAGGCUUUGAAGUGUGGACGCCAGUCUGCAUGGAGCCGACCUUGAAAUACCACCCUUUAAUGUUUGAUGUUCUAACGUUGACCCGUAAUCCGGGUUGCGGACAGUGUCUGGUGGGUAGUUUGACUGGGGCGGUCUCCUCCUAAAGAGUAACGGAGGAGCACGAAGGUUGGCUAAUCCUGGUCGGACAUCAGGAGGUUAGUGCAAUGGCAUAAGCCAGCUUGACUGCGAGCGUGACGGCGCGAGCAGGUGCGAAAGCAGGUCAUAGUGAUCCGGUGGUUCUGAAUGGAAGGGCCAUCGCUCAACGGAUAAAAGGUACUCCGGGGAUAACAGGCUGAUACCGCCCAAGAGUUCAUAUCGACGGCGGUGUUUGGCACCUCGAUGUCGGCUCAUCACAUCCUGGGGCUGAAGUAGGUCCCAAGGGUAUGGCUGUUCGCCAUUUAAAGUGGUACGCGAGCUGGGUUUAGAACGUCGUGAGACAGUUCGGUCCCUAUCUGCCGUGGGCGCUGGAGAACUGAGGGGGGCUGCUCCUAGUACGAGAGGACCGGAGUGGACGCAUCACUGGUGUUCGGGUUGUCAUGCCAAUGGCACUGCCCGGUAGCUAAAUGCGGAAGAGAUAAGUGCUGAAAGCAUCUAAGCACGAAACUUGCCCCGAGAUGAGUUCUCCCUGACUCCUUGAGAGUCCUGAAGGAACGUUGAAGACGACGACGUUGAUAGGCCGGGUGUGUAAGCGCAGCGAUGCGUUGAGCUAACCGGUACUAAUGAACCGUGAGGCUUAACCUUACAACGCCGAAGGUGUUU